AAUACCGCAUAAAGUUGAGAGACCAAAGCAUGGGACCUACGGGCCAUGCGCCAUUUGAUGAACCCAUAUGGGAUUAGCUAGUUGGUGRGGUAAWGGCUYACCAAGGCGACGAUCUCUAGCUGGUCUGAGAGGAUGACCAGCCACACUGGAACUGAGACACGGUCCAGACUCCUACGGGAGGCAGCAGUGGGGAAUAUUGCACAAUGGGGGGAACCCUGAUGCAGCCAUGCCGCGUGUAUGAAGAAGGCCUUCGGGUUGUAAAGUACUUUCGGUGAUGAGGAAGGURAUGWAUCUAAUAGGUKCAUUAAUUGACGUUAAUCACAGAAGAAGCACCGGCUAACUCCGUGCCAGCAGCCGCGGUAAUACGGAGGGUGCGAGCGUUAAUCGGAAUGACUGGGCGUAAAGGGCAUGUAGGCGGAUAAUUAAGUUAGGUGUGAAAGCCCUGGGCUCAACCUAGGAAUUGCACUUAAAACUGGUUAACUAGAGUAUUGUAGAGGAAGGUAGAAUUCCACGUGUAGCGGUGAAAUGCGUAGAGAUGUGGAGGAAUACCGGUGGCGAAGGCGGCCUUCUGGACAGAUACUGACGCUGAGAUGCGAAAGCGUGGGGAGCAAACAGGAUUAGAUACCCUGGUAGUCCACGCUGUAAACGAUGUCGAUUUGGAGUUUGUUGCCUAGAGUGAUGGGCUCCGAAGCUAACGCGAUAAAUCGACCGCCUGGGGAGUACGGCCGCAAGGUUAAAACUCAAAUGAAUUGACGGGGGCCCGCACAAGCGGUGGAGCAUGUGGUUUAAUUCGAUGCAACGCGAAGAACCUUACCUGGUCUUGACAUCCACAGAAUCUUGUAGAGAUACGAGAGUGCCUUCGGGAACUGUGAGACAGGUGCUGCAUGGCUGUCGUCAGCUCGUGUUGUGAAAUGUUGGGUUAAGUCCCGCAACGAGCGCAACCCUUAUCCUUUGUUGCCAUCGAUUAGGUCGGGAACUCAAAGGAGACUGCCGUUGAUAAAGCGGAGGAAGGUGGGGACGACGUCAAGUCAUCAUGGCCCUUACGACCAGGGCUACACACGUGCUACAAUGGCGUAUACAAAGGGAGGCGACCUCGCGAGAGUAAGCGGACCUCACAAAGUACGUCUAAGUCCGGAUUGGAGUCUGCAACUCGACUCCAUGAAGUCGGAAUCGCUAGUAAUCGUGAAUCAGAAUGUCACGGUGAAUACGUUCCCGGGCCUUGUACACACCGCCCGUCACACCAUGGGAGUGGGU
rnacentral:rRNA from 1 species